rnacentral:rRNA from 1 species
UACGAAGGGUGCAAACGUUUGCUCGGAAUUAUUGGGGCGUAAAGCGCACGUAGGCGGCUUUUUCAAGUCCCAUGUGAAAGCCCACGGCUUUAACCGUGGAAAGUGCAUGGGAAAACUGGAAAGCUUGAGUACUUAAGAGGAUCGCGGAAUUCCCGGUGUAGAGGUGAAAUUCGUAGAUAUCGGGAGGAACACCAGUGGCGAAGGCGCGAUCUGG